AGUGAACGCUGGCGGUAGGCCUAACACAUGCAAGUCGAACGGCAGCACAGUAAGAGUUUGCUCCUACGGGUGGCGAGGGGCGGACGGGUGAGGAAUACAUCGGCAUCUACUUAUUCGUGGGGGAUAACGUAGGGAAACUUACGCUAAUACCGCAUACGACCUACGGGUGGAAGCAGGGGAUCUUCGGACCUUGCGCGAUUGAAUGAGCCGGUGUCGGGUUAGCUAGUUGGCAGGGUAAAGGCCCACCAAGGCGACGAUCCGGAGCCGGUCUGAGGGGAUGAUCCGGCACACUUGGACUGGGGCACCGUCCCGACUCCUACGGGAGGCAAGCGUAGGGAAUCUUCCGCCAUGGGCGGAAGCCUUACGGAGCAACGCCGCGUGAGGGAUGGAGGGCUUCCGGGUUUAAAACUCUUUUAGUUGGGAAAGACAAGUGGGUGAGUAACUACGCGCGUCUCGACCGUACCUCAACGGAUAGACACCGGUAACUACGUG
rnacentral:rRNA from 1 species